UCACCUGUUUAUCAAAAACAUGGUUUAUUGAAUUUAAUUUUAAAUCAAAUCUGCUCAAUGAAUAAUUUAAAUAGCUGCAGUAUAAAUAACUGUACAAAGGUAGCAUAAUAAAUAGUUUUUUAAUUGAAAACUGGAAUGAAAGAUUUAAUGAAAAAUAAACUGUUUCUAAAUAAUUUAUAAUUAAAAUUUUAAUUUAAGUUAAAAUACUUAAAUAUUAUUAAAAGACAAGAAGACCCUAUAGAAUUUUAUUAUUUAAUUAAUAAUAAAUGUUAUUAAAAAUUAUUAUUAAUUAAAUAAUUUAAUUGGGAUAAUUAAAAAAUUUAAUAAAUUUUUUUAUUAAAUAAACAUUUUAAAUGAAUAUUUAAAUUUAUAAUUUAAAUAAUAAAUAAAUUACCUUAGGGAUAACAGCAUAAUGUUAUUUAUUAGACCAUAUAAUAAAUAAAUUUUAUGACCUCGAUGUUGAAUUAAAAAAAAAUUUAAAGAAAAAAAAUUAUAAU
rnacentral:rRNA from 1 species